GAUGAAGAACGUAGCGAAAUGCGAUACUUGGUGUGAAUUGCAGAAUCCCGUGAACCAUCGAGUCUUUGAACGCAAGUUGCGCCCGAAGCCAUUAGGCCGAGGGCACGCCUGCCUGGGCGUCACACGUCGUUGCCCCCCCAUCUACUCCUUCGGGAUUGCGGGGGGCGGAUGAUGGCCUCCCGUGCGCCUCGCCGCGCGGUUGGCAUAAAUGCCAAGUCCUCGGCGACGCACGCCACGACAAUCGGUGGUUGCGAAACCUCGGUUGCCCGUCGUGUGCGGUCGUCGCGCAUCGAGGGCUCGAAAAAUUGCCGGGUUCCGGCUCGGCUUUCAACGCGACCCCAGGUCAGGCGGGGUUACCCGCUGAAUUUAAGCAUAUCAAUAAGCGGAGGA
rnacentral:misc_RNA from 1 species